ensembl:lncRNA
UUAGGGUUCGUUUUAAAGUCCUUUUAUUGGUUUUGAAAACUUUAAAUGGUCUGGCUCCUGUCUACUUAUCUGAUUUACCGAAGCCACAUGUUCCUCCUCGCAUGCUUCGUUCAGCUGAGCAGCUGCUGCCGUCGGUCCCUAAGUCGCAGCUGAAAUGCAGAGGAGACCGAGCGUUUUCAAUUCCAGCUCCGAUGCUCUGGAAUCACCUUCCCCUCCGAAUUAAACAAGCAUCAUCAGUGCAGGUCUUUAAGUCCAUAUUGAAAACUUAUUUUUAUUCCCUGGCUUUUAACUCUGUAGGAAACUGACACCUUUCUUAUUUAUUUAAUUUUUUUAUGAUUUUAUGGUAUUUUUAAUUUGUUAGUUUUUUUGAUCUGUGUUGUUCAGCACUUUGGUCUGCCUGGUGUGUUCUUAAAGUGCUAUACAAAUAAACAAUGAUGAUGAUGAUGAUGAAAAUCUACACUUUUGUACAUCCUGAGAAAGCAAGACAGCAUUGUGAACUCAGCAAAACAAAAGGAACGUCCAUAUCAAUAUCCAAGUCUACCAUAAAGAGAAGACUACAUAAAAGUAAAUACAGAGGAUUCACUGCAAAGUCCAAGCCACUCAUAAGCCUCAACAAUAGAAAAAAAAAUCGAAAUAAGACAGAACAGUUCUGGAAAAAUAUUCUAUUCACACAUGACACCAAGAUCAACGAAUGCCAGAAUGAUGGCAACAAAACCGGCAUGGAACACAAUAUGAUCAAAAACAGCAUGGUGGAGCCAGUGUGAUGGCUUGGGUGUGGCACUGAGACACUAGUGUUUACUGAUGAUGUGACAGAAGGCAUUUUGACCAAGUAUUUUUAUUUUUAUUUUUUUACUUUCAGUUAUUUAAUUUGUCCAAUUACUUUUGAGCUGCUGAAAUGAAGGGAAUGUGUUCAAAUCUUCUAGUUCCUCAAUAGUUUUUAAUGCAAUCUUUUUGUUCAGCCCACUGAAUUAAAGCUGGAAGUCUGCACUUCAACUGCAUCUGAGUUGUUUCAUUUAAAAUUUAAAAUUCACUGUGGGAACGUACAGAACCAAAAUUAGACAGAAAAAAAAGUCAGAAUAUUUAUGGACCUAACUGUGUGUCUGCUAUCUGUACAAAUUCCUGUAUGUGAGGAGGAUACAGUAAUAAACAGUGGGACACAGGGAUCGCUUCACUUUAUUGUUUGUGAUUAUUACACAGUAAAAAUAAAUACAAAUGUCAGCAUUAUAAAACUGUCCUGUUACCACUACUGCUCACUAAAGUCUAAAGGCUCCUACAGCUGUGUCACAGGUAAAACACACAAUAAUAAAAAUAGCAUGUUUGUUAUCCACGUGAACACUUUUACAAUGUUAAGUACAAACAGGAGAAAUUAUCACACUAACUUAUGAGGAAUGAUGUAAAUGGUAAGAAUAUUGUGUACAAGUCUGUGUGGCUUUUUUAAACUGUGCUUGGUGCUUAUGGCGUAGAGGGCUUUGUUAACAAAGAAAAAAAAACCAUUCUGUGUCAGAGUUAUAAAUAUUUAGCACAUUUGUCCAUUAAGGUAAAAAUCACUGAGGAUGUCAUCCAAAGGAAGUUUGGAGAUGCCCGUUUCCUGGAUCCCAGUCACAUUAUUCAGUAUAAAAACCAGUUUAGAAGAUCUUCAUGCAGCAGCACAGGGCCCAGAAGCUCUUCUUGGCUCAUUUGUUUUUGUAGUAUUAUUUUAUUUUUAAUAUACUUAAUAGGGUGAUUUGGGAUGUAGUCUUGGUAAGUAAUAUGUUAGAUUCCUAUGUCCUCAACUGGAAGUGUUUUCAUUCACAUCUUAGGUCUCUUCUUUUAAUUUCAGUUUUGAUUCAGUCUUUGACUUCUUCUAUGAUUGCCCUCCUGUCAUUCAUCACCAUCAUCAUCCCUUCUUCAUCAUCUCCACAGCGUGCCUCUGGCCCUGGACUUGGAGGGAGCAGCUCUGCAUCUUUUGAGCUGCUUGUGCUAGCAGCUCUGGCAAUCCUGGUGAGGGUCUGUUCAUACGGAGAGGGCAGAUAGACCAUGAGGAAUACGCCGUCUGUCACGUCCUGCUCGGAGCUUGAGCUGGGAAGUGGACCUCUGUUGCUGCGGAGGGAGGACAGCAGCUCGCAGUUCCUCUCUGGGUCCUGUAGGUCCUCCAAGGCGAUCACGUUAGCCAAUCCCAGCUUUCCAUUGAAGCUGAAGCCCCUCCUUCGGCGGCAGACCACGAAGCCGAGGAUGCUAAUGAAGAGGACGAGGAAGGAGAUGCUUGCUAUGACGAUAUAGGUGACUGAUCCACCGCUGAAGAUGGCCUCAUCAAAACUCUGGUUCUAGAGCCCAACUAUGAACAUGUGGAUGAACAUCACAAUGGACAUUUACAGAACGGAGAAAAUGACAGCAGAUGUGAACUACAAGAGGGAGCUGUUGGUAUCACGAUGGAAGAAAUGGAUGGACUACAUAAAAAACGCAGGCCAGUUUUUGCUUUGGCUCUAGAUUUUGACUUUGUUAACUACUAGAAAACUAGAGGAAAUAUUAGUUAUAUUAAUGGAAACAAAAACACACUCCCUACAUUUUUUUCUUUCAUUUUUCUUUUUCCUUAUGUAUCUUUUAUUUAUUUAUUUAUUUAUUGUUUCCUGUUUUGCUUCUUUUUUCUUUCUUCUUUCAUUCUUUUUGUAUGGAUAUUUUAGUUGUUUAAAUAUAGAAAAAAAAUAUAUGUAGUGACAAAUUGCUGAAGUUGAUGGUAUUGUAUAGUGAUUCCAAAAUGUCCAUUUAAAAAAAAAAAAAAAAGUAUUGUGAGGCUGAGCACACCGCCUCCUGAUGUUAUUUUUAUUUGGAGCAUAUGUGCACUGUAAAAGCUAAGAAUGAAGAGUAAACAUGAGAUGGGAGACGUUGUCUUUUACCAGACAGCAGUUUUAAUAAAUGACUUGUUGUUAAAUAAAUGUUAAAACAUCCAAAAUUUAUUGAAAUAAAGCUGAUGUUGUU